rnacentral:misc_RNA from 1 species
AAGACUAUAGACCUGCGGAGUACCUGCGGAGGGAUCAUUACAGAGUUGCAAAACUCCCAAACCAUUGUGAACGUUACCUUCUCGUUGCUUCGGCGGGCGGCCCGGGUCCUUCCCGGCGCCCCCCGGCCCCUCGCGGGCGCCCGCCGGAGGUAAACCAAACUCUUGAAUUGUAUGGCCUCUCUGAGUCUUCUGUACUGAAUAAGUCAAAACUUUUAGCAAUGGAUCUCUAGAUCGGAAGAG